CUGAUUAAACAAUAUAUCUAAAAUGAGAUAAUGAAUUCUCUAGUAUAACAUUUUUUCCCGGUUUAUGGGCUCUAUUCAUUUGAUAUGAGUGAAUAUACUUAUAAAAGUUUGGCUGUAAUUUUUUCAGAGUUGCAGAACAAACUGUAUAUAAUUAAUAAAAUAGCAUAACCUUCGCUAUUCCGCGCUGUGUAUUGCACCUUAACAAUUCAGGGGAUUGAUGUAAAUAAGCAUUGCGUAUUUUUGGAAUUCAGUUUAAUAAACAACAAUUUCUUUGACUUUUUAAAUAAAAGUGUCUUCAAAAAUAUGAAAAAUUUAAUAAGAAACAAAAUGAUGGCAUUCGCAUACAAAAAUGAAGUUCCUCUCCAGCAGCGUUUAAACGAAGGUGAAAAAAUCAGAAAGAAUUAUCCAGAUCAGGUUCCAGUGAUUGUGGAGAAAUCUCCCAAUUCGACAAUCGGUAAUUUGGACAAAAAGAAAUACUUGGUG